AAUGUUGGGAACCGAUCUGAUUCCAAGGAUUGAGAAGUUUUGCAGUGGUCAACUGGUAUAGACAUCCCAUUACCACUACUUCCUUCAUUGGACUGCAAGGUAUUUCUGUUUGGAAAAGUAAUGGAGUCCAGUCAACUUCAUUGAUCGCCAAGGACUGUCAAAAUUAUAAAACUUGCUGUGGAGCUCUGACAUGCCAGAAGCCGCUAGAAAAAGAAGUUUGACAUUCAGAAACUUAUCAAGAGGUUCUACUCUUUGGAUAGAGACCAAAAUCAUACUUUGAAUGAUAUGCAAUGCAAGACUCCCAAGAUUCUGGGCAGUGGCAGGGAGGUGCAGCUUCUAGUCUGCCGCAUGAUCACAAUGUCAGCUGGUCCCUCUUCUCAGGUGUAGAUCACCUAUUAUAAUUUUACCUAAUUUUGAUACUCUGAUAAGGAAAGUCCCAGGACUUAUCAGCUGGGAUAGGCCUCACUUACAAGACAGCUCUGUUCAGUAUUUGGAAGAAAGCCUGACAGGUUUCUUCGGAAAAGUGGCCAUCCAUGGAAUGAAUGAAAUGUUCUCUUUCUAUUCCACCUCUAGAGACCAUCAAAAAACAAUGGCUCAUAAUGCUUUUAGAACAGAAACUGAAGUUGUAUACUGUGCAUAUGUAAUCCUACACAAGAGGAAGGCAAUGUUUAAAGCUGCUGUCACCUCUUAGGGAAAAAACUGGAAUUCUGAGUCAA
rnacentral:lncRNA from 1 species